rnacentral:pre_miRNA from 1 species
UUAAUACUUCCUUCGUUCCGAAUUAUUUGUCGUAGAUAUAGAUGUAUCUAGAUGUAUUUUAAUUCUACAUACAUUUAUUUUUACGACAAGUAAUUUGGAACGGACUGAAGUAUGAA